rnacentral:tRNA from 1 species
AUUUAUAUAGUUUAAUAAAAACUUUACAUUUUCAAUGUAAAAAUAAAAAUCUCAAUUUUUAUAAAUU